UAAUCGUCGUGACCUGUGGUGUCUAAAAAUCUUGUUCCCUAUGUUAAGGGAGCCUGUUUGUAAAUAGGGCAGGUCCCCUGCAUAAGGACAGUGUUUUUAUUCACACCCAAUGAACAAACACCUC
rnacentral:precursor_RNA from 10 species